rnacentral:misc_RNA from 1 species
GAUGAAGAACGUAGCGAAAUGCGAUAAGUAAUGUGAAUUGCAGAAUUCAGUGAAUCAUCGAAUCUUUGAACGCACAUUGCGCCCCUUGGUAUUCCGAGGGGCAUGCCUGUUCGAGCGUCAUUAUAACCCCUCAAGCUCAGCUUGGUGUUGGGACCUGCUGCACUGGCAGCCCUUAAAAUCAGUGGCGGCGCCAUCUGGCUCUAAGCGUAGUAAUUCUUCUCGCUAUGGAGUCCUGGUGGAUGCUUGCCAUCAACCCCCAAUUUUUCUAUGGUUGACCUCGGAUCAGGUAGGGAUACCCGCUGAACUUAAGCAUAUCAAUAAGCGGAGGA